AAUCUAGCCCAAAAAAUAAAUUUAACAACCCGGCCCAAUAUCUAAACUAAAAACCCCCUAACCUCUUUCAGUUCAACCAAAACCAAAUGACCCCUACCCUUUCUCUCCAAACUAAACCGCCCUAACCAAACGUCACUGCACCGCCCCAACGCCAAGCGGACUGCCGGACAAACGCGGGAGCCGCCUCCACUGCCACCACGUGCCCUUUUCCCUUUGAUUGACGUUGUGGUAGAAUUGAAAAGUGUAACAAGAUUAAGGUCUUAUUACCAGAAGAAUGAAGAACAAGAAGGGAAAGAGAGAGAGAGAAAAGAAAAAAAGGGAGAGAAAGGAAUAUUUUUUAUAAAUUCGAUGAGGUAUGCCAUUCAGUACAAACGGAUAUAUAGCCACCUAUAAUCCAGCUGCAUCCUCUAACUACUUGACACCUGUCCUGACUACUAACAAAAUUUUCAAGACUAAACUUUCUUACAAUAAAUUACUUUAAGGGACCUAAUUGACGAAAUAGAAACUUAGACUUAAAAUAUAAAAGGGGCUAAAACAAAUGCCCAGAAAAUGAUAAUUACUGUUAACUACUUGCUGAAUCCAUAACAAAAAGAGCCAGCAAAGAGGUCAUUUCAACCUUUGUAGAAGAGGAGUGCAAUGAACCGCCGGUUUCAAGCUUGACUCUCCUUCGAUUCAGUGGGUAAUGGAGGAAUCGACAAUAUUAGACCCCAACAGCUCUUCUCCUCUCAAAUCAAAACUGAAAAGGUGAGAUUUUUCACCCUUUUCUUGAUAUUACCCAUCAAAAUCUUUUCCCAGAACUUCCCAUUAAAAAAGCAUCACCUUUUCCUCCUCUUUUGUUUGAAUUUCGAAUUUUAGCUUCCUAUAGAAGCUGUUGAAGUCCAGGAUUUCGACUAUAAAUAGGGCCCUUUGGGCUGUGUUGAAGAUAGGCUGAGAAUUUGAGAGAAAACUUUUAUUUACUCUAAAGUUAGAAUUGGAGAAUCCAUUUCUUUUUCAUAAGUCUUCAUAACUAAAAAUCCAUAGUUCUUUCUAAGUUCUCAGAAAAUCCUGUUUUAACUAUAAGUUCUUUUGGCUGUAUAAUUUUGGUUAUUCUCGGCUAAUCAAGGAUUGCUUUAAGCGGAUUCAGAGACUCGAAGACGACACUAGCCUCAGUUCACUGUCCCGGAGAAGAAAUGAAGCAUGGACAUAUGUAGGGAUCUAGUAGCUGUUUGUUUCUCUGGCGUGCUUGGAAGUUGUUGAUAGCAUAAACUUGUAAAGCACGUUGAGUCGCUAAACUUCUUCAUUCUUGUGAAAAGCAUCUGGACUGUUUUAUCUAUUAUUUAUGUUAAGAAGCUCUUUCAAAAUGUUCUGUCAAGUUGUUCGAGAAAAUUGGUUACGAGACCUGCAUUUUAACCACCGAAAGUUGCAUACUUUUAGAACACCCGUUUAUGGUGUUAGUUUGGUUGUGUUCUAUUUUCAUGUCCUAAUUAACAUAUAAAAGAUGUUGGGUGUCUUCCUGGCUGAAUUGGUUGAGGGUUAAACUCAUAGAAGGCCGUCAUUAAUGUGUCCCUUUAAUGUCCUUGUUUUAAAUUAGUUUGUUGUCACUUGUUGAUAUAAAGGAUUCUAUUGUACAUAAGCUUAAUUACCCAUUCUUACUUUGUGUUUCACGAGUAACCAACGAAAGAUUAAGUCUUUUGAAAAUAAUGUUCUCUUGUUUGCUUGAUUGUGAACCUAUAUGAACAUUUUUCUUAUUCAGUUUGAUUGUUGUUUCCCAUAUGUUCCUAAUCCUUUUCUUUUCUUUCUUUCUACAUGAGUAUAGCACGUGGUUUGUUAAGUCUUCCGGAUUAUUGCUCCGUUUCUCUUUUGCCUACGAGUUUCAUCUAUGUAGGGAAUCAUUUUGGGAUUAAUCCUUUGCCUCUGGGGUCCAUCUUUAUUGAUAAGCAUUCCAGAAUUAAUCCUUUGAUCCUUUUUUUUUUUUUUUUUUUUUUUUUAUCGGCUUCGUCCUCGCUAGGUAACUUCCCUGGAUUAGCCUUUUUUGCUCCUAUAAUAUAUAAAAACUUUAUUAUAGAAUAAUUCACCCAUACCUUAGACUUACCUCCAUACGACUUUGGCCCGAAAAACCCCUAUGUUUUUUAUCAGACCUUGAGACCUUCAUUUUUUUUGCAACCUUAAAGGUUCCGUUACCAGCCAUUCCACUCAAUGAAGCUUGACGUAAGAACAUGCAACACUCCCUUCGGGUCCGAAAAUUCCAACCGUUUGAGUGAAGCCGAUAUAACGACGUUUGUAUCUUGAAUCCAUGGCUUCCCUAUUAAAGCCUUGAAACCCUCAUCAUCAUCAAUUACUCAAAACUCCACAUUUUCUUCUCCACCUCCAGUCGCUACCACUAGUUCCACAAUUCCGGACUGAAAAAGGCUAACAACUCCUUUUUCGUACAACUCCAUUUCCCCCAUUUCAAUUAGCUGCUCCAUAACAUCCCACUGAAUAAGAUUCUUUAUGCUCCUCAGAGUUACAGCCCUUCUAGAGACCACAAUACCAUUGGCUAAAGCCGAAAUCACCAAAUCAUUUGGACGAGGCAAAAUGUUCUGUAUGUUUUUAUCCCUUGUUGACAACACAACUUUCCCUUUCAACUUAGCAGUUUCUUGCUUAAGUACCUCCAUCCUCACUAUUGAAAGCACCCUUUCUGGUAAAGGUCCCUCUUCAUAUGAUCCUGACCAAACAAAAUAAUAAAUAUUCUUUAACAAAAAUCUAUAAACUCCAAGCCUGAGUUCCGGGGUUAAUCCGGUGCCCAAGUAUACCUUUCUUUUCAAUUUCCGAUCCGAAGGGGCAAUUUCUCUUUUCGGUAUUGCUUCAGAUUGUCCGAGCUCAUUAAUUAUCAUGUUAAUAACAUGCCGAGACUCAACCUGCGGUUCUCGCUUAACUGAGUUGAUGUGCUUUUCGUAGUUAUCAUUAGCCCUAUCACUUAAGAAUUCCCUUAAAUAGCCGAGCAAUCGCGUCCUUGAGGUGCCGGCAAUCGAUUGUCCGAUGAUUAUGAGUUCCAUGAUAAUCACAAAAUAAAUUCAUAUCCCUCUGACUUAGAUCCGUUCUCAUUGGUCUGGGUCGCUUUUUACCAUCGAUUUUUAUCUAUCUCCGCAAUCAACGCUACCAGAUCAAUGUUAAAAUUAUACUCCGAUAGCCUUGGGUUCUCAAUUUUAUUUGUGAUUGAGUCAACCGUUGCUACCUUAGGCUGCAAUCCGCGCUUACUUUGACUAGAUGGUCUUUCAUAAUGACUGCCUCAGCUUCGUUCUAGUUCUCGUUCGAGACCUUUCUUGUUGAUCAUAUGACUGAUAUUUAUUUUUUCCAACUCUGGAAUCAGAAUCAAUAUUUCUUCUUGGUCUGUCAUAGUUUCAACUUCAACUGGUUGAACCAGCUGACAGACUAAAUUGAUCAUCCUCCACCCGAAUUUUUGACUCAUACCUAUUAUGAACGUCCACCCAUGUUGUGGCAGGAAAUUCUAAUAGGUUUUCUUUCAACUUCAACGAAGCACUCAAACUUCUGCCUUUAGCAAAGAACUAUGCCUCUCAUUCAUUCGGAACAGUUGGAAGUAGCAUUCGCUCAUUGUGAAACCGAAUAACGAAUUCCCUGAGCCAUUCGUCAUCUCCCUGGGUGAUUUUUAAUAUAUCCUCCUUCCUUGCUGACACCUUUUUCGCCUCAGCAUGUGCCUUGAUGAAGGCAUCCAGGAGCAUUUCGAAAGAAUGAAUGGAAUGCUCCGGAAGCAAUGAAUACCAGGUCAUUGCUCCUUUGUAUGGAGUCUCACCAAAUUUCUUGAGCAACACAGACUCAAUUUCAUCCGGCUGCAUAUCGUUUUCUUUAACAACAAACAUGUAUGAAGUCACAUGCUCCUGAGGAUUUGUAGUCCCAUCAUAUUUGGGUAGUUCUGGCUUCUUAAAUCUUUUUGGAAUGAGUUUAGUAGCCGCACUUGGUGGGUAUGGCAGCUGCAUGUAUAUUUUUGAAUCUGGCCCCUUUAACACUGGCGGGGCUCCUGGAAUCUGAUCUAUUAAAGAAUUAAACGCCUUAAAUUCCUUUUCACUUUUAUCCAACCUACUAUUCAAUUCUUUCUCAUUUUUCUCUAACCGGUUAGAAAGAGCUUCCAGGUACUACAUUACUUCGGGUGCUCCCCCGUUGCCACGAGCUACACUAUUGCCUUCUUCUCGCCGCACAUCCAUAUUAGGUUGAUCUCCUCCAACAUUGUUUCUUCCUGUCUGCAAAUCCGUAAUGGCUUUCUGCUGCUUUUCCAACAACUCCAAUAUUUUAGACAUUGCCGAAUCUACUUUCGCAACCACCUCUUCUUCAUGAUCAUCAUUUGGAAAGAAAUCAUCACCAAUGUGCUUGGAUCCAUGAGGUAAUUCUUGCAUCUGUUUGUUCCUGGUCAGAUCGUCUUCCGCGGUUUAAGCCUUUCCCUGAGUGUUUGCAUUCUUCAACACUCCAUCUACUUGGUUUCCCGUAUUCGUCAUCUUUCAAGACUUGUCUGGUGACAACAAAAUAAGAAUUGUAAGUUUAAAGGUUAGAGCAACAAAAUAAUACCACUAUUAUCGUUAGCCUCACGGUGGGCGCCAAACUGUUUAACCUAAAAACCGAGGGAACAAAAGGAUACGUGAUUUGCUUCGUUAUGAAUAAAGAUAUAAAUCAUUGACAAAAAUGAAUGUGAUAAUAAAUAAAUAGAAUGAUUGCGAUAAAUAAAAAUGAAAUAAUUAAGCUUGGGCUUGAUUAAUCCUCGGAGCAAAUCCUUUGAUGAGCUUUAUCCGGUGGGACAAUACUCAGGCUACAACAAUAUUCCGGAGGGAGGAAGCAGCUUAAGAAAGUAAAUUUAAAUAGCAAAAGCUUGUUAGAAUAAAGAGUAAUCUGUUGUAUUCUAUAUCCUUUCCUAAGGACUCUUUAGCCUCUUUUUAUAGUACAAGCUAACCCCCUUCUUAUGCUAUGAUUACAUUCUAAUAAAUAUCAAUAAUGGACAAUAAAUAUUAUUUAAUGCUGAAUCGUAAUGUUUGCCUCGUAUACGGCUGGUCACAUAACGUUGUUCUUCCAUUAAUGACCCGGUGUCACUGCUUUUGGCAGAUUAGCUCCGGAUACCACCGGAGUUCUUUAUCUGAAUUAAAUGAGAUAACUCGUAUCGUUAUAUCUUCUCCCGCCAUGUGCUUCAAUACUAAUUUACCACGUGUCAAGCUAUAUUUUGGUGUGCAUACAAGUUGCCCUAAAAUAUAUUCAACUUGAUAAUUUUUUUUUUAUAUGAAUUAAAGGUACCCAUAGAUAGACAUUUCAAUUCUUUUGUUCUGGUUUUGAUGUUUUAUUUUGCGUGAUAACUCGCAUGGAAAGCCAAUAAAUUGCCAAAAUAAACUUUUCUUACAAAUUGUAUGGCUGUUGAAUAAAUAAGUUCAUGUCUGGAAUGUUAAAUUUCAAUUCCAAGAGGAAUAUUCAUCAAAAAAAUUAAAGUAUUUAAAAAAUAAAAAAAGUAUGUAACAUAUAAUCACCUAAUAACUUUUGUGACGAGUGGAUGUGGCAUGCACUGAAAGUGUGAGAGGGAUGGGUACAGGGGAUUAAGGAGGUAAACACUAACAAAAGGUGGUGACGUAGUGUUAUAUAUUAUUACUUUACUACUAUUAAGAAGCACGGGUUUUACUACUAUUUCGUCGUCCGUUGUGGGCCCCCAUGAAAAAAAAAAAUUAUUUUGGGCCUCAUAUUAAACAGCCCAUAAUAAAAAAAAAAUACACAAAAUUGUAAAAUAAAAUAAAAUAUGGGCCCCAUAUAUAUUAAACAACAAUUAAUAUUUUAAAAAAAAAUGGGCCCCAUAUUAAACACCAAUCAAUAUUAAAAAAAAAAAAACUGAAACCCACCACAUUCAAACUCACGGGGAAAAAAAAGUGGACCCCAUAUUAACAAAAUUAAGCAAUAUUAAAAAAAAAGUGAAUCUCAUAUUAAAAAAACAAACAAUGUUAAAAAAAAAUAUGGGCCCCAUAUUAAACACCAUGAGUAUUCGUAGCAAACACUAAUAUAAUAAAAUUUUAAAUACGGAGCACAAACUACAAUGUUAUAUUAAUCGUGUUUUGAACAUAGUUUCCCAUAUUGACAAAAUCAAGCAAUAUAUAUAUAUAAAAAAAAAGUGAAUCUCAUAUUAAAAAAAUAAACAGUGUAAAAAAAAAGUGCAGACUUUGUAUUCUUAGCAAACACUAAUAUAAUAAAGUUUUAGAUACGGAGCACAAAACCCGUGCUUCUUAAUAGUAGUAAUAUAUAUAUAUAUAUAUAUAUAUAUAUAUUAUAUGCAUAAAAAUAGUGCAAACUAAUAAUGUCCAAAAAGGCGGGCCCCAUACUAAACAACACCAGGGAAUAUAAAAAAUAAAAAUAAAAAUAAGAAGAAACUAUAUGAAACAUGGGUCUAAACCCAUGCUUCAUCGUCUGUUGUCCCUUAAAAAAAAAGAGUGGGCCUCAUACUAAAUAACACCGAGCAAUAAAAAAAAGGAAGAAAAAAAA